ACUGAACCGGACACAUUACUUUCUAGCUGAGCACACAGCCUGAUCCACUUCUGGACAGCUGAGCCUCCCGGACACCUGCAUCAAGGAAGAUGGAGACUUCCGGGUGGCAAGUGACUGACACAGGGGAUCUGUCCUAGAAAGCAAGAGUCAGAGACAAGAAGAGUGAAGCAGAGAAGAAGAGAGAGAGCAGAUUGAAGAAUUCAUUACCUAGCUGAUUGCCAUUAAAGGUGAUUUAUAGCGUGAUAUUGAGGGACUGUCACAACUUCUGGAGCAACAACAAGAACAACAAAACCCCAGCAUCUCAAGAAAGAGAAGAAUUUAUCUGCCAGUUCCUAUUUUUCAUUGGCCAGAAGUUCACCCAGUGGGAUGUUGAAGCUCCCAUAAGCUGUUAAUCGGGAAGUCCUAGAGAAAGGCACAAGAGACCAUGAGUGCAUGCCUAACAAUCUAAGUGGUGACCGUCCAAAGGAAGAGUGAUGUGCACACCUGGCGCUUGUGCCCAGGCAGAAACGACAAUGGUGAAUGUGAGCUGAUCUGCAAACAGAAGAAUUCAGAAAUGAUAAAUGGAAGAGGUAUUUAACAUCACAAGGAAUCCAAGAUGAUGACUGGCUUCUUUGGCUCUGCCAUGAACAGAAGCCAU